rnacentral:rRNA from 1 species
GAGCAACCUGCCCCUGACUCUGGGAUAAGCGCUGGAAACGGCGUCUAAUACUGGAUACGAGUAGCGGCCGCAUGGUCAGUUACUGGAAAGAUUUAUUGGUUGGGGAUGGGCUCGCGGCCUAUCAGCUUGUUGGUGAGGUAAUGGCUCACCAAGGCGUCGACGGGUAGCCGGCCUGAGAGGGUGACCGGCCACACUGGGACUGAGACACGGCCCAGACUCCUACGGGAGGCAGCAGUGGGGAAUAUUGCACAAUGGGCGCAAGCCUGAUGCAGCAACGCCGCGUGAGGGAUGACGGCCUUCGGGUUGUAAACCUCUUUUAGCAGGGAAGAAGCGAAAGUGACGGUACCUGCAGAAAAAUCUUUUUGUUAACUACGUGCCAGCAGCCGCGGUAAUACGUAUGGCGCAAGCGUUAUCCGGAAUUAUUGGGCGUAAAGAGCUCGUAGGCGGUUUGUCGCGUCUGCUGUGAAAUCCGGAGGCUCAACCUCCGGCCUGCAGUGGGUACGGGCAGACUAGAGUG